CCCUUAGAUGUCCUGGGCCGCACGCGUGCUACACUGACACUUACACCGAGUUUUUCCAAUGCCGAAAGGCCAUUGGUAAUCAGCAAUAAGUGUCGUGAUGGGGAUAGAUCUUUGGAAUUAUUGAUCUUGAACGAGGAAUGCCUAGUAAUCGUAGGUCAUCAGCCUGCGAUGAUUACGUCCCUGCCCUUUGUACACACCGCCCGUCGCUCCUACCGAUUGAAUGGUCCGGUGAAAUCUCGGGACGGCGGCUUGGUCGCUUGCGUCCGACUGCUGAAACUUGAUUAAACCAUAUCAUUUAGAGGAAGGUGAAGUCGUAACA
rnacentral:rRNA from 1 species